AAGGAGAGAGAAGGCUAUCAGUACUGGCCCUCUUUCCUCCUCUCCUCAGCCAACAGUUCUAACCCCCUAAUCCAAGAACUCUUUUCUGCAUCCCAGAGUGUGUGCGGACCAUAACCAGGGGCUCAGGACGCCCUGAGAGAAGCAGGUCGAGAAAGGCCGGGGAUCGGCUGAGGAACCAUGCAGCUCCCGUUACACUUCAGAGAACGGAUCCAAAGGGGAAGAUUCCUGGCCCACAUUCCCGCCUCCCACCCCCAGGCGGGAGACUUGGAACAGUCCCAAGGGUCCUGGCUCCCAGCCAGGAGCUCCAAGAUGAGAUACAGAUUGCAUGUGAGUUGCUUCAGGAGAGUGGAGAUGCAGACAAGUCGGGCUGAGGACUGAAUGGAAGAGAGGAAGAGGAGAAGACAGGCUGCAUAAUCUUGGAGACAAGAAAGACAAUUGAAGGACUUGAAAAGAUAGUUCAAGGAGUAACGUACCUGCUGUGCCAACGUGAGGACCUGAGUUCAGAGCCCCAGCUCCCACAGAGAAGCUGGGUGUGGUGGUGUGCAUCUGUAACCCUAGCAUUGGUGGGGAAGACUGGGAGGGGGAUCGAGGCAGAUCCCCUGAACUCUCUGGCCCAAUCAGUGAGCACCUACUUCGUUGAGAGGCCUUGCCUCAAAAGAUAGGGUUGAGGAGCAGGGGAGAUGGCUCAGUGGUGAAGAGCACCGGCUGCUCCUUCAGAAGACCUUGGUUCAAUUCCAAGUAUCCACAUGGUAUCUCCUGACUGAGUGUAACUCCCGUUCCAGGGGAUCUGACACCCUCUUCUUGCCCCUGCAGGCAAUCAAAGUACACACAGCUAAAACACUCAUACCCAUAAAAACAAAACAAACAUUAAAGAAAGAUAAAGUGGAGAGCAACAGUGAAAGACGCCCACAUUGACUCCUGUCCUCUGUAUACGUGCACACAGACACACGCUAAUAUGGAUACACAUAUCACACACACACACACACACACACACACACACACACACACACACACACACACAAGGGUCUCAAAUGCAAGGCUGAUAUGUCUUCCUAUUUGGGCUUCAGUAAGUAUAGGCAGAAAAGUCUUCUCCAGCUGCAACAUGAUAUUUGCAUAUUAUCUUUUCCCCUCUGCCACUCCCAUGCCCCGACUCUCAAUAUAUAAGCUUGUGUUCUGCUUUCCAGAAAGAGAUGCCAUCAGAUGGGAAUCCCUCAUCUUCCUAAUGCUAAAGCCAUGUGACCUGCUAGCUUUGGCCCAUAUCCCCUCUGCUGGAGUGGAGGAGCAGUGCAGAUUCCCUGUGUGUGAGCCCCCGCCCACCUCUUUGCCUGCCCAGGGAACUAAUCUUGCCUGUUCUUGAACUUUGAACUCAGCUGGAACUUCUCUUAGUUCUUUAUCUUAAUCUGAUGUCUCCCAUUAAAACAAAGACACAGGCCAUGAAGCUGCAGGGCUUUGGCACUCUCUGUUGCUGAGGAACACCACAGGGUUGGGCAGUGGGGCAAAAGAGGUUUGUGUGUGGACUGUGUGUGGUGAGAACUGUUUAUCCUCUGAGCUGAAGUGCCCUCUUAGAGUCCUCCCAAUGAAAGGAAGCACACACCACCAAUCUCCAGAAAAUCCCAGUGUAUUACUUGGUCAUUCCAUUUGUGACUUUUAAUCAGAUUAAACCCCCAAAGAAUAAGAGAAUCCGCCACUGUGUAUAUAUUUAGAGUUCAGGAGGCUUGAAGUAUUUUUCAAUGCCCUGGAUCCCUAAUAUAGUAACAUAGAUGCUUUUUAUAUUUAUUUGUUUAUUUUUAGAUAGGGUUUCAUAUAGCCCAGAUAACCUUGAACUUGUUCUACAGCCAAGGCUGAUCUUGAAUUCCUGAUCCUCUUGUCCUCACUUUACAGUAAAAUGCUAUUAGAGGUCUUUAUCAUCAUAUCCAGGAUCAAAUAUUGUGAAAGAGUGGCCAUGAAGACUUCAAGAGCUGGAGAUGAGGCAUUCCAUGAAAUGCUGCCUUCCAUGGCUGCUGGUAUCAUGGACACACAACAGUUAUGGAUACCUAGAAAAGACUGGCUCUUCAGCAUUCCAUUACAGAUAGGGAAGGUUCCUGCAAGGCCCUUCCUCUGGAGCUGUUGAUUGUUAAUGGUUGCCAGAAUAGGGGAGGAGGGUGUCAUUUUCUUCAAUGGUAUAACCACUGGGGUUCUAGGGAGAAGAUGGAGUUCACAGGAAAAGGGAUAAUAAAGAGUAGUAGGAGCUAAAUGUAAUCAUAACACAUUGUGUAUGUAUGUAAAACUCUCAAAAAAUAAAUAAUUAUCAUUGGCUUAACUAAAACAAAACAGAACUCAGGGCUUCAUGCAUGAUAGGCAAGAGCUCUAUCCAUGAGUUAUAUCCCUGAGACCUCCAUUGCUUCUCAGUAAAAUCAUUAAUAACAGGUGUAAAAGCAGAUGCAAUUUUAAAUAUAUAUUUUUUAAUAAUUUCAAAGGAGUGAUGAAUAUAAAGACUACCAGAGACUGUUUUGUAAUAUAAGCAUUUGUGAUUUUGACUGGUGAUGAAGACACACUACCUGUAACACUAUUGUGGAUUGUUGCCUAUAUGUGUAGCUCAAGUAAAUACCUGCUAUUGAAUAUAAGUGUAGUUUCUUCCCAUACAAGGUUAUGGAUUUUUUUCAUUCUGUCCAUGGAUCCUGGGACAAGAAUCUGCAUAAUAUACAGUAUUGUCCCUUAACUUGAUUGUGUCCUUCUGUCCAAGAGCUGGUCCAAGGAGACACAGGCAUGCACUAGUAACAAGAGAAGGGAAGACAUGGUUUCACCUUGGGAUUGUGUCCCAAAGGGAACCAGGUAGGAUGUGUCACACAGGGGCAUUCUGCCAAAGCCUUGUAUUGGAAGAUUUUGGAAAUGAACCAAUUAAUAUAAGGGUUUUGUUGAGGAUCAAACUGUAAUCUUUGGUUAGGUUGGAGUUGUGUAAAACUCCAUUGCUCAGGAAAUUCCAUCAGUUAUUUGGACAGAAAGACUGAUAUCAGGAAGGCAGGAAGGAUAUGUAUGUAUUUUAAACAAAAACUAAAAACUAUAAUUUUGCAUUAUAGCCUGAUUUUAAUAGUACUAAAAUCUGUUAUGAAUGAUUUUCCAUGCCAACUAAUGUAGUUAUGAAACAUUAUUAUGGGUCACAUACUAUUUUGUUACAGAUAUGUACAAUUUACCUAGUUCGUUCCAGGCAUAACGUAAGUUGUGCUGUAAGAGAUGCAGGUUAAAUUUUUGUCCAUAUUGUAUGUUUUUUUUCCUUAGAAUAUUUGUAUAAAAAGAAUAAAUGUAUAAUUUACAACAAGAACAGUGCAUAUGGAUUAUGCACUGUUAAGGAUUUAAGGAGUGUGUGUGUGUGUGCUAGUUAGGUUGUUGUUGUUUUUUUUGUUGUUGUUGUUGUUGUUUCUUGUCAACUUGGCAUAAACUAGAGUCAUCUGGGAACAGGCACCCUCAAUUGAGAAGAUGCCUCCCUCAGAUUGGCCUGUAGGCAAGUCUCAGGUACCCAGCCCACUGUGGGUGGGACCCCCUCUGGGCAGGUAUGGGGCCUUGGGUUAUCUAAGAAAGCAGGCAGAGCAAGUCAUGGGAGCAAGCCAGUGAGCAGCAUUCCUCCAUGGCCUCUGCUUCAGUUCCUGCCUUGAUGUUCUUGCCUUGCGCCUGCUCUGACUUCCCUGGAUGAUGGACUAUAAGCUGUAAGAUGAAAUAAACUCUUUCCUUUUCAA